GACGAACGCUGGCGGCGUGCUUAACACAUGCAAGUCGAACGGAAAGGCCCUGCUUUUGUGGGGUGCUCGAGUGGCGAACGGGUGAGUAACACGUGAGUAACCUGCCCUUGACUUUGGGAUAACUUCAGGAAACUGGGGCUAAUACCGGAUAGGAGCUCCUGCUGCAUGGUGGGGGUUGGAAAGUUUCGGCGGUUGGGGAUGGACUCGCGGCUUAUCAGCUUGUUGGUGGGGUAGUGGCUUACCAAGGCUUUGACGGGUAGCCGGCCUGAGAGGGUGACCGGCCACAUUGGGACUGAGAUACGGCCCAGACUCCUACGGGAGGCAGCAGUGGGGAAUAUUGCACAAUGGGCGGAAGCCUGAUGCAGCAACGCCGCGUGCGGGAUGACGGCCUUCGGGUUGUAAACCGCUUUCGCCUGUGACGAAGCGUGAGUGACGGUAAUGGGUAAAGAAGCACCGGCUAACUACGUGCCAGCAGCCGCGGUGAUACGUAGGGUGCGAGCGUUGUCCGGAUUUAUUGGGCGUAAAGGGCUCGUAGGUGGUUGAUCACGUCGGAAGUGUAAUCUUGGGGCUUAACCCUGAGCGUGCUUUCGAUACGGGUUGACUUGAGGAAGGUAGGGGAGAAUGGAAUUCCUGGUGGAGCGGUGGAAUGCGCAGAUAUCAGGAGGAACACCAGUGGCGAAGGCGGUUCUCUGGGCCUUUCCUGACGCUGAGGAGCGAGAGCGUGGGGAGCGAACAGGCUUAGAUACCCUGGUAGUCCACGCUGUAAACGGUGGGUACUAGGUGUGGGGUCCAUUCCACGGGUUCCGUGCCGUAGCUAACGCUUUAAGUACCCCGCCUGGGGAGUACGGCCGCAAGGCUCAAACUCAAAGGAAUUGACGGGGCCCCGCACAAGCGGCGGAGCAUGCGGAUUAAUUCGAUGCAACGCGUAGAACCUUACCUGGGUUUGACAUGGAUCGGGAGUGCUCAGAGAUGGGUGUGCCUCUUUUGGGGUCGGUUCACAGGUGGUGCAUGGCUGUCGUCAGCUCGUGUCGUGAGAUGUUGGGUUAAGUCCCGCAACGAGCGCAACCCUUGUUCACUGUUGCCAGCACGUUAUGGUGGGGACUCAGUGGAGACCGCCGGGGUCAACUCGGAGGAAGGUGGGGAUGACGUCAAGUCAUCAUGCCCCUUAUGUCCAGGGCUUCACGCAUGCUACAAUGGCUGGUACAGAGAGUGGCGAGCCUGUGAGGGUGAGCGAAUCUCGGAAAGCCGGUCUCAGUUCGGAUUGGGGUCUGCAACUCGACCUCAUGAAGUCGGAGUCGCUAGUAAUCGCAGAUCAGCAACGCUGCGGUGAAUACGUUCCCGGG
rnacentral:rRNA from 1 species